UAUUUAUGCUGAUGGUAUUUUUGCCUGUUGAAUGACACCAGACACCCACACACACACUGCCCAGGCGACUGUUUUGUAUUUUCUGUCUGCUUUGCAUGGUUUCCUAUAACCUAGCCCAGCUGCUCAGAAUUUAUGAACCAGACCUUUGCACUGUGAGUGAACUGCAUCAGACAGGCAGGGGGAGCAAGAUGGAAUCACAGACGCAUGUCCUCAUUUCCCUUCUGCUCUGUGUAUCAGGUACCUGUGGGGACAUUUUGAUAAACCAGUCUCCAGCCUCUCUGACUGUGUCAGCAGGAGAGAAGGUCACUAUGAGCUGCAAGUCCAGUCAGAGUCUUCUAUACAGUGAAAACAACCAGGACUAUUUGGCUUGGUACCAGCAGAAACCAGGGCAGUUUCCUAAACUGCUUAUCUAUGGGGCAUCCAACCGGCACACUGGGGUCCCUGAUCGCUUCACAGGCAGUGGAUCUGGGACAGACUUCACUCUGACCAUCAGCAGUGUGCAGGCUGAAGACCUGGCUGAUUAUUACUGUGAGCAGACCUACAGCUAUCCUCCCACAGUGCCUCAGCCUCCUACAAAAAACUCCUUGAGAGUUUCAACAGCUGUAUAGACCAUACACAGUUGUGGGCAUGCACAGUUCCCCCUUCUUCCUGAGAGCUGCCAUGCCUGCAAAACUGAAGAAAACAUUUACAGUGCCCAAUAAAAAAUAAUGUGUUCAAUGCCUCUUAUGUCUUUUGGCAUAAAAACUCUAUAUACCAAAAUACAGAAAAAAUAUCCCCAGUAUUAUUUUCUAUUCCUUCUGAAAUAUGAACAAUAUACCACAAACUGUUGAAUGAAUAUGA